rnacentral:rRNA from 1 species
UACGUAGGGGGCAAGCGUUGUCCGGAUUUAUUGGGCGUAAAGAGCGUGUAGGCGGCCAAACAGGUCAGCUGUGAAAACUCGAGGCUCAACCUCGAGACGUCGGUUGAAACCGUUUGGCUAGAGUCCGGAAGAGGAGAGUGGAAUUCCCGGUGUAGCGGUGAAAUGCGCAGAUAUCGGGAGGAACACCAGUGGCGAAGGCGGCCUUCUGGACCAGUACUGACGCUCAUGCACGAAAGCGUGGGGAGCAAACAGG